rnacentral:rRNA from 1 species
CUAAGAAUAUUCCGCAAUGGGGGAAACCCUGACGGAGCGACGCCGCGUGGACGAUGAAGGCCGGAAGGUUGUAAAGUCCUUUUAUGACAGAGGAAUAAGCGUGGGAGUGGAAAGCCCAUGUGAUGACUGUAGGUCAUGAAUAAGCACCGGCUAAUUACGUGCCAGCAGCCGCGGUAACACGUAAGGUGCGAGCGUUGUUCGGAAUCAUUGGGCGUAAAGGGCAUGUAGGCGGUCUGUCAAGCCAGGCGUGAAAGCCAGGGGCUCAACCCCUGAACUGCGCUUGGAACUGGCGGACUGGAGUCGCUGAGGGGGAA